GAUGAAGAACGUAGCGAAAUGCGAUAAGUAGUGUGAAUUGCAGAAUUCAGUGAAUCAUCGAAUCUUUGAACGCACAUUGCGCCCUUUGGUAUUCCUUAGGGCAUGCCUGUUCGAGCGACAUUUAAACCUUCAAGCUAAGCUUGGUGUUGGGUGACUGUCCGCUUCACGGCGGACUCGCCUCAAAAUUAUUGGCGGCCGGUACAUUGGCUUCGAGCGCAGCAGAAACGCGAACUCGGGCCCGUCGUAUUGGCUCCCAGAAGCUAUCUUCACAAUUUUGACCUCGGAUCAGGUAGGGAUACCCGCUGAACUUAAGCAUAUCAAUAAGCGGAGGA
rnacentral:misc_RNA from 1 species